UACGGAGGGGGCUAGCGUUGUUCGGAAUUACUGGGCGUAAAGCGCACGUAGGCGGCUUUGUAAGUUAGAGGUGAAAGCCCAGGGCUUAACCCUGGAAAUUGCCUUUUAAGACUGCAUCGCUAGAAUCGUGGAGAGGUGAGUGGGAAUUCCGAGUGUAGAGGUGAAAAUUCGUAGAUAUUCGGAAGAACACCAGUGGCGAAGGCGACUCACUGGACACGUAUUGACGCUGAGGUGCGAAAGCGAUGGGGAGCAAAGCAGGG
rnacentral:rRNA from 1 species